CUGGUGAUUGCCACUAGCGAGGUAUAGAGUUCCUACGUAAUAUAGAACUGUAGGAACUUCAUACCGUGCUCUUGGGUUUGCCAAU
rnacentral:pre_miRNA from 1 species